rnacentral:lncRNA from 1 species
GGGGGCAGGAGCAGGGAAGGAUGGAAAGCUUCAAACCUCCAACUGAAGGGUGCCCACUGCAGAAACACUUCUAUCACCAUGAGGCCUCUGGACCAUUCUGGGUACAGCUUGCUCUCUGAAUAGGCAUCUCGUUUGAUAACAUUCGCAAAUAUUUAUUGGAGAUACUUUUCUCCUGUUUGCCAGCCCUGGACAGGAGCCUUGCACAGUCAUUGCCAAAAUAAGUGCCAGGUUCAUUAUGUCUGAAAACUGAGGAAAGUCAGAGCUCACAAUGGCCUUUGCCCAAACCAAGGUUGUUUGAAAGUCAUUACCUGGCAUCCUCCUAGAGCAGAGGGCCUUGAGAAAGAUAUGGCACCAAGGAGAUAUUUCCCAGACAAGGAGAAGGAUAGGGCUAAAUCUGAAUAUGUUGUUUCAUCCUGAGUUUGGGGAGACUUAUUAAAACCAGUCAUCAGACCAAUGGUCUCUACAGAAAGGCUGGGAUUAUCCCAGGGAGUGGCAGGGUACCACCACACAGAGGUACAAAUCAUCUGUCAGUGGAACAAGGCAGCCCUGGGGCAGGGCCUGGCACCAGGGAUUAGGGAGUGUUUCUUCAUUUGAGGAAACUUUCCAAACUGCACUGUUCCACAGUUUGAACAAAGUGGCUUAAUAUCAAACAUUGAUCUAAAAUGGAGUAUGGGCGUGAAACUGCCAAUGUCCCUCUUUGAAAGAUCAAAACAAAGGUAUAUUCCCACAAAAGGGAGUGGUGGAGAGAGAUUAGGAGACAGUGAUAAGCCAAGGUUGGGGCAUGUGAUACCAGGAAAACCAUGGGUUGGGUCAGGGUAUCGGGGCUGGCUCAGGCAAAGCUGAUGUGGCAAGAUCUGGCUGUGCCCUAUAAAUCCAGCCCCAGCCUCAGCAUUGUAUAUUGACCCUGCCUGAAGGACUGAGUACCCUGUUGCAAAGAAGAAGCCAUGAAGGAAGAGAUCUGUGUUGCAUUCCUGGCUGUUUGUCUCCUUGUGCUUGGAGGCACUAAGGCAGCUCCCCUGGACUCUAACAGCUUUAAUGGGAACAGUGCUGGGGAUGGCAGCUUCAACAACAAUGGGAAUGGCUUCGAGCCCCCAGUCAUCUAUGAUCCUGUGGGUGAUGCAGGGAACCAUGGCAGCUUCGACUGGAAUAGGGUUGGUGACCGCAGCUUCAAUGACAAUGGGGAUCCUGUGGGUGAUGCAGGGAACCAUGGCAGCUUCGACCGGAAUAGGGUUGGUGACCGCAGCUUCAAUGACAAUGGGAAUGGCUUCGAGCCCCCAGUCAUCUAUGAUGUGGGUGCUGCAAGGAACCCUGUCAACUUUGAUGAUCAGUGACCACAGCUUCAAUGACAAUGGGGACUCCUGAAUAAUUUCCCUCCACAUUCAAUCUACGGUCCCAAUUUUGCCCUGUUCCUGAAGAGUUUUGCUUAAGAAUAAAGAGAUCCCAUUAUUGCUGGUGCA